UUCCAGUUAAUUUUCUGGUAAGAGGUCAGAC
rnacentral:piRNA from 1 species